UUUUCCUUCAUUUCAAAUUUCAAAUCAAAUACAUUUCUCCCUCAGUUUAGUUUUUGUUUCAGUUAAGCAUUCUAUCUCCUUUCGUCUUUCAAUCUCUCUUUCUCUUCUUCAUUUUCUUUUCUGAGUUUCAAAGGCAACACUCACUGCUUCAGUUCUCUCUUUGCUUUACCAUCAGGUAAUAUUUUUAAGCUAAUGUUUCAUUUUAUUUCCGGCAUUAUACACUGUUUUACACGAUUCUAUUGCUUUGACUAUCACAAAAUGAUUCCUCUCUGCUUCACCUCUUUGUCCUGUUCAAGCUCCAUCAUCAACAUCAGGUGAACUCCAUUGGAAAACUGUAUCAGUUUAUAUUUGUAAAUAUUCUGAUCAGAUUUAUGACAAAUCUAUGGGCAAGUGAUUUGUACUGGUUGUAGAAUUUGGACAAACAUGCUACUGUUUCUUAUACUCCACAAAAUAGAAUAUGGAAGUCUUGAACCAAAACCAUAACACUUAUGUAUUUCAACUGCUAUUCAAUUCAUCAGUUUAUUUUACUUAUUCAUUAGAUAGUAAAACCAGUAUUUACUCUCAUAGCAAUUUCAGUCUUCAAUCAUAUAUUGUU